AAUGAAUUGCCUGAUAAAAGGGCUAUCUUGAUAGGGUAGAUCAUGUGAUAAAGUAUUACAUUCAUUA
rnacentral:tRNA from 1 species